GCUUCCCUUUUGAAGCCUGAUGAUGCUGUUGAUGGAAGAGGAAUUGGUCCAGAUGGCUAUGUAAAAAUCAAAUGCAUAGCAACUGGUACGCGCAGCCAAAGUCAAGUAAUCAAA